rnacentral:tRNA from 1 species
AAUAAGGUAAGCUAAUGAAAGCUGUUGGGUUCAUACCUCAAAAAUAGAUUUGAUAGAUCUCUUUAUUA